GGUAGCGCCGGGCGGGGCGGCCUGUCAUGUCCGUACCGCGAUACGGUCAUGACGCCUGGAUCACAGGCGUUCCAGCGCCUGCGCCACCG
rnacentral:tRNA from 1 species